GACGAACGCUGGCGGCGUGCUUAACACAUGCAAGUCGAACGGAAAGGCCCUGCUUUUGUGGGGUGCUCGAGUGGCGAACGGGUGAGUAACACGUGAGUAACCGGCCCUUGACUUUGGGAUAACUUCAGGAAACUGGGGCUAAUACCGGAUAGGAGCUCCUGCUGCAUGGUGGGGGUUGGAAAGUUUCGGCGGUUGGGGAUGGACUCGCGGCUUAUCAGCUUGUUGGUGGGGUAGUGGCUUACCAAGGCUUUGACGGGUAGCCGGCCUGAGAGGGUGACCGGCCACAUUGGGACUGAGAUACGGCCCAGACUCCUACGGGAGGCAGCAGUGGGGAAUAUUGCACAAUGGGCGGAAGCCUGAUGCAGCAACGCCGCGUGCGGGAUGACGGCCUUCGGGUUGUAAACCGCUUUCGCCUGUGACGAAGCGUGAGUGACGGUAAUGGGUAAAGAAGCACCGGCUAACUACGUG
rnacentral:rRNA from 1 species